CCUCUCGUAGUUCAGUGGUCUGAACGUUGGUACGUAAAGCCAAAGGUCCCGGGUUCGAUUCCAGGCGGGGGUG
rfam:Agrilus planipennis Contig46017, whole genome shotgun sequence.